rnacentral:rRNA from 1 species
AUUGAACGCUGGCGGCAGGCCUAACACAUGCAAGUCGAACGGUAACAGGAAGCAGCUUGCUGCUUCGCUGACGGGUGGCGGACGGGUGAGUAAUGUCUGGGAAACUGCCUGAUGGAGGGGGAUAACUACUGGAAACGGUAGCUAAUACCGCAUAACGUCGCAAGACCAAAGAGGGGGACCUUCGGGCCUCUUGCCAUCGGAUGUGCCCAGAUGGGAUUAGCUAGUAGGUGGGGUAACGGCUCACCUAGGCGACGAUCCCUAGCUGGUCUGAGAGGAUGACCAGCCACACUGGAACUGAGACACGGUCCAGACUCCUACGGGAGGCAGCAGUGGGGAAUAUUGCACAAUGGGCGCAAGCCUGAUGCAGCCAUGCCGCGUGUAUGAAGAAGGCCUUCGGGUUGUAAAGUACUUUCAGCGGGGAGGAAGGCGAUAAGGUUAAUAACCUUGUCGAUUGACGUUACCCGCAGAAGAAGCACCGGCUAACUCCGUGCCAGCAGCCGCGGUAA